rnacentral:rRNA from 1 species
UACGUAGGGUGCAAGCGUUAAUCGGAAUUACUGGGCGUAAAGCGUGCGCAGGCGGUUAUGUAAGUCAGAUGUGAAAUCCCCGGGCUCAACCUGGGAACUGCAUUUGUGACUGCAUAGCUAGAGUACGGUAGAGGGGGAUGGAAUUCCGCGUGUAGCAGUGAAAUGCGUAGAUAUGCGGAGGAACACCGAUGGCGAAGGCAAUCCCCUGGACCUGUACUGACGCUCAUGCACGAAAGCGUGGGGAGCAAACAGG